CCUACGGGUGGCAGCAGUGAGGAAUAUUGGACAAUGGGCGCAAGCCUGAACCAGCCAAGUCGCGUGAGGGAAGACGGCCCUACGGGUUGUAAACCUCUUUUGCUGGGGAGCAAGCCUGAGCACAUGUGCCCAGGCGGAGAGUACCCGGAGAACAAGCAUCGGCUAACUCCGUGCCAGCAGCCGCGGUAAUAGGGAGGAUGCGAGCGUUAGCCGGUUUAGUGGGGUUUACAGGGUGCUCAGGCGGGCUGUUAAGCAGGCGGUAAAAAGUCAGGGCUAAACCCUGUCGAGCCGUCGAAACUGGCAGUCUUGAGUGGGCGAGAAGUAUGCGGAAUGCGUGGUGUAGCGGUGAAAUGCAUAGAUAUCACGCAGAACGCCGAUUGCGAAGGCAGCAUACCGGCGCCCAACUGACGCUGAGGCACGAAAGCGUGGGGAUCGAACAGGAUUAGAUACCCCGGUAGUC
rnacentral:rRNA from 1 species